rnacentral:rRNA from 1 species
UACGUAGGUGGCAAGCGUUUGUCCGGAAUUAUUGGGCGUAAAGCGCGCGCAGGCGGUCCUUUAAGUCUGAUGUGAAAGCCCACGGCUCAACCGUGGAGGGUCAUUGGAAACUGGGGGACUUGAGUGCAGAAGAGGAAAGCGGAAUUCCACGUGUAGCGGUGAAAUGCGUAGAGAUGUGGAGGAACACCAGUGGCGAAGGCGGCUUUCUGGUCUGUAACUGACGCUGAGGCGCGAAAGCGUGGGGAGCAAACAGG